AGUGAACGCUGGGGGUAGGCCUAACACAUGCAAGUCGAACGGCAGCACAGUAAGAGCCUGCUCUUACGGGUGGCGAGUGGCGGACGGGUGAGGAAUACAUCGGAAUCUACUUUUUCGUGGGGGAUAACGUAGGGAAACUUACGCUAAUACCGCAUACGACCUACGGGUGAAAGCAGGGGAUCUUCGGACCUUGCGCGAUUGAAUGAGCCGAUGUCGGAUUAGCUAGUUGGCGGGGUAAAGGCCCACCAAGGCGACGAUCCGUAGCUGGUCUGAGAGGAUGAUCAGCCACACUGGAACUGAGACACGGUCCAGACUCCUACGGGAGGCAGCAGUGGGGAAUAUUGGACAAUGGGCGCAAGCCUGAUCCAGCCAUACCGCGUGGGUGAAGAAGGCCUUCGGGUUGUAAAGCCCUUUUGUUGGGAAAGAAAAGCAGCAGGUUAAUACCCCGCUGUUCUGACGGUACCCAAAGAAUAAGCACCGGCUAACUUCGUG
rnacentral:rRNA from 1 species